rnacentral:rRNA from 1 species
AUACGUAGGAUCCGAGCGUUGUCCGGAUUUACUGGGCGUAAAGGAUGCGUAGGCGGCGUGGUAAGUCUCAUGUGAAAUCUCCCGGCUUAACUGGGAGGGGUCAUGGGAUACUGCCAUGCUCGAGGGCAGCAGAGGAGAGCGGAAUUCCGGGAGUAGCGGUGAUAUGCGUAGAUACCCGGAGGAACACCCGUGGCGAAAGCGGCUCUCUGGGCUGUACCUGACGCUAAGGCACGAAAGCGUGGGGAGCAAACCGGAUUAGAAACCCGGGUAGUCC